rnacentral:rRNA from 1 species
UACCGCAUACGACCUACGGGAGAAAAGGGGGCAGUUUACUGCUCUCGCUAUUAGAUGAGCCUAAGUCGGAUUAGCUAGAUGGUGGGGUAAAGGCCUACCAUGGCGACGAUCUGUAAGCUGGUCUGAGAGGAUGAUCAGCCACACCGGGACUGAGACACGGCCCGGACUCCUACGGGAGGCAGCAGUGGGGAAUAUUGGACAAUGGGGGAAACCCUGAUCCAGCCAUGCCGCGUGUGUGAAGAAGGCCUUUUGGUUGUAAAGCACUUUAAGCAGUGAAGAAGACUCCAUGGUUAAUACCCAUGGACGAUGACAUUAGCUGCAGAAUAAGCACCGGCUAACUCUGUGCCAGCAGCCGCGGUAAUACAGAGGGUGCAAGCGUUAAUCGGAAUUACUGGGCGUAAAGGGAGCGUAGGUGGCUCUAUAAGUCAGAUGUGAAAUCCCCGGGCUUAACCUGGGAACUGCAUCUGAAACUGUAGAGCUAGAGUAUGUGAGAGGAAGGUAGAAUUCCAGGUGUAGCGGUGAAAUGCGUAGAGAUCUGGAGGAAUACCGAUGGCGAAGGCAGCCUUCUGGCAUAAUACUGACACUGAGGCUCGAAAGCGUGGGUAGCAAACAGGAUUAGAUACCCUGGUAGUCCACGCCGUAAACGAUGUCUACUAGUCGUUGGGUCCCUUGAGGACUUAGUGACGCAGCUAACGCAAUAAGUAGACCGCCUGGGGAGUACGGCCGCAAGGUUAAAACUCAAAUGAAUUGACGGGGGCCUGCACAAGCGGUGGAGCAUGU